UGUGACUGUGCUCUGCACUUAGACUGAAUGCAAAAACAAACAUUUUACUUGAGUAACAUUUGUUAACUCCCAGCCAGAGUUUGUGUGGCUCUUCGCAAGUGCUCCGGCUGAUUUGUGACAUUAACGAAACUUAAGUGUACUAAGUGUAUCGAAACGAAUACAUUGACAGUUAUGCCCCAUACCAACUGGAUGCUGGGGAAGCUUUUCAGAGGCAACGAUUGACCAAGAAUCGAUAGGUCCCACUGCCUAUGCGUAAUAACCCUCAGCUGGAAUAUGUGACGUGGACUUAUUUACGUCCAGGGGCAUAAAGUCGCGUUAUGUAAAUUGAGAAUGUUGUUUGAUAAGCACAAGCAGCCAAAUAUUAAAUUCUCGGUUUUGAUGUUACUUCCAAAAAUGAUAAGAUUGCAGUUCCUCACGAUUCGGGAAGACAAGCCUCAGUUUGUAGCUCAACCAAAUGACUAAAUCUAUAAGCAGGCAUGAUGCACACUUAAUUAUGGAUGGUAACGCUUCGAACUGCCUCAUCCUAGAGGGUAUUUUAGGACAUGUGCGAUUCAAUGGCAUUCA